CUUGAACGCUGGCGGCAUGCUGUACACAUGCAAGUCGAAGGGUAGCGCGGGCUUCGGCCUGGCGGCGUGUGGAGAACGGGUGAGUUAUCCAUCGGAACGUGCCCAGUAGUGGGGGAGUGGUCUGCGUAGGCCGGAGUAAUACCUCACACGACCUGAGGGUGAAAGGGGGGAGUCAUCUCACCUCGCGCUGGCCGCGCGACCGAGGGCCGGCUAGCUAGGUGGUGGGGUAAAGGCCUACCAAGGAGACGAUCUGUAGCUGGGCUGAGAGGACGGCCAGCCACACUGGGACUGAGACACGGCCCAGACUCCUACGGGAGGCAGCAGUGGGGAAUUUUGGACAAAGGGCGAAAGCCUGAUCCAGCAAUGCCGCGUGUGUGAUGAAGGCCUUCGGGUUGUAAAGCACUUUUGGCGGGAACGAAAAGGACUGUGCCAAUACCACGGUACGAUGACGGUACCCGCAGAAUAAGCACCGGCUAACUACGUG
rnacentral:rRNA from 1 species